rnacentral:piRNA from 2 species
UGAAUGAUUUGAGGAAUGUUUGUAG